UGAGGCGCGCCGAGUUUGAUCCUGGCUCAGAGUGAACGCUGGCGGCGUGCUUAACACAUGCAAGUCGAACGAGAACGGGUUAUAGCUUGCUAUAACUGUCAGCUAAGUGGCGCACGGGUGAGUAAUAUAUAGUUAACCUGCCCUAGAGAAGGGGAUAACGUUUGGAAACGGACGCUAACACCCUAUAUGCCUUUAAUACAUAAGUAUGCAAGGGAAACAUUUAUGGCUCUAGGAUGGGACUGUACGGUAUCAGUUAGUUGGUGAGGUAAUGGCUCACCAAGAC
rnacentral:rRNA from 1 species